AAAGGUUCCUGUUUCAACAGAAUAUUCUGGCCCCCUCAGCCCCAGAGCACCAACCAGGACCCCCAACAGGACCAAGGAUCUACCCAGGGCCAGGCUCCUGAUACUGGGUAUACACAUCAGCAGCAUGGUGGCACUAACAUCUACGAUACGAUCAAUCCCUCAGACAACAAUGAUAAUGAUGCUGCUGGUGCUUCUGCUGCUGGACCAAGUCAUGUGACUUACGCCCAGAUUCAACUGAAAAAGUUGGACAAGAAAAAGAAAG